GUGCUCGCUUUGGCAGCACAUAUACUAAAGUUGAAACAAUACAGAGAAGAUUAGCGUGGUUCCUGCUCAAGGAUGACAUGCAAAUUCAUGCAGUGUUCCAUAUGUAA